rnacentral:rRNA from 1 species
UACGUAGGGGGCAAGCGUUGUCCGGAUUUAUUGGGCGUAAGAGCGUGUAGGCGGUUUGGUAGGUCCGCUGUGAAACUCGAGGCUCAACCUCGAGACGCCGGUGGAAACCAUCAGACUAGAGUCCGGAAGAGGAGAGUGGAAUUCCUGGUGUAGCGGUGAAAGUGCGCAGAUAUCAGGAAGAACACCCGUGGCUAAGGCGGCUCUCUAGUACGGUACUGACGCUGAGACGCGAAAGCGUGGGGAGCGAACAGG